rnacentral:rRNA from 1 species
UACGUAGGGGGCAAGCGUUAUCGGGAAUUACUGGGCGUAAAGCGCACGCAGGCGGUUCGCCAAGUUUGGAGUGACAGUUGUCGGCUCAACCGACAAAGGACUUCAAAAACUGGUGAACUUGAGGACGAGAGAGGAACAUGGAAAUCCAGGUGUAGUAGUGAAAUGCGUAGAUAUCUGGAAGAACACCAAUGGCGAAGGCAAUGUUAUGGCUCGUUUCUGACGCUCAGGUGCGAAAGCCAGGGGAGCGAACGGG